rnacentral:misc_RNA from 1 species
AACGCAUAUUGCGCCCAUUAGUAUUCUAGUGGGCAUGCCUAUUCGAGCGUCAUUUCAACCCUUAAGCACCUAUCUGCUUAGCGUUGGGAGUCUGCGCCUUGGCGCAGUCCCCUAAAGGUAGUGGCAGUGUUAGGUACACUCGUAGCGUAGUAAUUUUCUUCUCGCUUCUGUAGUGGUCCUGAACGUCUAGCCGUUAAAACCCCUAUUUCUCAAGGUUGACCUCGGAUUAGGUAGGAAUACCCGCUGAACUUAA